GAUGAACAUUUCAAAACGCUGUUACUUCAUAAGAGACAACUUUGAUUAAGUCGUCAUUUAAUAUGAGUAUUGCAUUGUUGUCUCACGAGUAAUGGCACCUUUAACGGCACCAUAACACAACGGAGGAAACAAACACUGGACAAGGAUCGAAGUGAAAUGAAUUAUAAUAAUACGUUAAAAUACAUUUGUCUACCAAGAUAUAGCUAACAUAUACAUUGAUAGAUUGAAUUAAGCUAUUAAGCAAUUUGUACAAUAUUUGCAAAGAUCGAGUUUAUUUAAAACUUAUGUAUAAGUAAAAACCAAACUAAUUCAUUA